AUUCUAUAUAGAUCCGGUAGAUAAGACCCGCGCUGACACACAAAUGAUGCUCCACUUCUGUAAUCUAUCCCUGUCCAAACUUAUAAGUAGAAUAUAUCGUCAGAAACCUAUCUAUAUAGUUGGUAGGUAUGUAUUUUUUUUUGUAAUUACUCAUAUUUUACGACUACAACUGUUUUAGAUGUCGGAAAUCAUAAUAAGUAUUUUUUAUCUUUCUAAUGAUGCACAAAGUUCUCUAUAAUAUAUUUGAUGUAUACCUGUAAUAUAAAUUACAAUUUUGUCAAUUACGAGAUACUUCUUGUUACAAUACUAACUCUAUCCCCUUCUAUGUUCUCUUGAAUUAUAAGUUCCAGCAGCCCACGUUUUUGGAUAUUUCUUGUUUUGUUAUGUUUACCUAGAAAUUAUAGUUUAAGAGAUUUUAUAAUUAGGUAUAAGUAAUCCUUUUUCCUUUCACAUGUUUUGAAAUGCCCUCAAGUUGAAUACACUACACGAUCUGCAUGGAAUAUUUAAAAUUCGACGAUUUAGCCACAUUUCUAGAGUCUCAAUUUUUCUGCUCGAUUUUUUUGUUAACGUCCAAGUUUCAACUCCACAUAAUGAAAUAGGACGUAACAUAUUAACAAUCUAGUUUUAGUAUCAAAUGAGCAAUAAUGAAUUUGUUGUAAUAGUUAAUAUUAAUUUUUAUCCGAUAAUCGUUUGACUUUAUACUUUAUUUACCCAAUGAAAAUAUAAUAGAUUUGGUUUUUUUGUUACAGGCCAUUUAUGCCAUGAUCGUAUACCAGUGAAUCUAUGUACUACCACAAACAAUAACCGUUAUUACUCUGAUGGGUUAUCAUCGAAAUCAAAAUUACAAUCUCGAACGGAGGGACAACAAGAGAGAGAGGAGCUUUAUUUUAGUACAAUGCAGAGUGAUCCAUUUAAGUUGGUACACUCACAUUUACUUUUUUAAUUUUUUUUGGAAAUUUAACAUCUACAUUAUUUUUUGUCACCCUAAUUUUUAGAAGUGAAACGACUACCGACUUUUGAUUUUCAAACAGCAAGAAAAAAAGUCAAAAAGUCCAUAAAUAGAUGGAGUAUUAGUUAAAAUAAAUUUUAGUGUUGAC